rnacentral:rRNA from 1 species
GAGGAAUAUUGGUCAAUGGACGAGAGUCUGAACCAGCCAAAUCGCGUGAAGGAAGACUGCCCUACGGGUUGUAAACUUCUUUUGUACAGGAAUAAAAGACAUUACGUGUAAUGUAUUGCAUGUACUGUACGAAUAAGCAUCGGCUAACUCCGUGCCAGCAGCCGCGGUAAUACGGAGGAUGCGAGCGUUAUCCGGAUUUAUUGGGUUUAAAGGGUGCGCAGGCGGGAUUUUAAGUCAGCGGUGAAAUUUUCAGGCUCAACCUGAACACUGCCGUUGAAACUGGGAUUCUUGAGUAUGGAUGAAGUAGGCGGAAUUCGUUGUGUAGCGGUGACAUGCUUAGAUAUAACGAGGAACUCCGAUUGCGUAGGCAGCUUACUAAGCCAUAACUGACGCUCAAGCACGAAAGCGUGGGGAUC